CGCCAGAUUGGUAUGGAUCUACUUCCAACUGACACCUGCUGACGUGCUAGCCGCUGGUGUGGGUGCUGGGGACUCAGGUCCUCAAGCUUGCACAGCAAACACUUUGCUCACUGAGCCAUCUCCGCUGGCUCUGGCUUGAUUUUUAAAUAGAUGCUGUCUGCAGUGCUUUGAAUGGCUUUGGUUCCCACAGAGUUGUGUGUGUCUGUGUGUCUGUGUGUCUGUGUAUCUGUGCGUCUGUGUAUCUGUGUGUCUGUGUGUGUGGGUCUGUGUCUGUGUCUGUGUGUGUGUGUGGGUGGCUUGGCCCACAGGGAGUGGCAGUAUUAAGAGGUGUGGCCUUGUUGGAGGAAGUGUGUUACUGCGGGAGCAGGCUUGAGGUCACAUAUGCUCGGGCUACACCCACUGUGGCACAUGGUCCCCUUCUGCAGCCUGCAGAUGAAGAUGUAGAACUCUCAGCUCCUCCAGCACCAUGCCUGCCUGGAUGCUGCCAUGAUGACAAUGGACUGAACCUCUGGAACUAACUGUUUUUCCCAGCUGUGCUCUGACUCCUAAUGUGCUUGCCAAGGAGAACCUUACUACGGUGCCGGAUUCCUACUGACAUUCUCAGAGGGCCUAACAACCAGAGCAAAGUGGAAAUGAAACACUUUUCUCUCCCUAAGGCAUCGUGGGAUUCAGUAGAGUCAAUGGUAUCUUAGAAAAUCCUUGUACAAGGGCUAGAGACACGGCCCUCUGGGUAACAUGCUUGCCAUUCAGACAUGAGGACCUCAGUUCAAUCCUUACAACCCAUUAAGAAAGCCAGCUCUAGAGAGGCACAUAGGCAGGUCCUUAUUGACCAACCAGUCAGCCUAGGCAAUCUGGCAAGUUCCAGGCCAGUGAAAUACUGUCUCAAAAACAAACAAACAAGAUGCAAAUUCUGAAGAAUGAUUCUUGAAAGUGACCUUUGGCACUUACAUGUACAUGCCUGUGUAUCCUUAUACACCCCUUCCAACUACCCAUGUACACUCACAAAAGAACACCUUUGGAGCAUGGCGAUGCUGUCCCAUAUAUAUGAACAAAUGCCCACAAGCUACAGUGGACACUCAGUCAGCAGAGCAAAUUUUUUGCCAUCCCAGCAAUGAUCAGUAUCUAAGGAAUUGAAAAUCAAGGGCACAAGUACAGAAGUGACACUCAGAGCCACUUUCCAGGACAAGAGAUGCAAUUUCAACUCUGCCUUUGCCCCUCCUUUCCAACUCCAAGCAUCAUCAAGGGUCCUCAACUUCAAGGUCGUCACCAUCUUUCUGGUCACAGUCCCCCAGUGUGGACUUGCUUGCCUCCUCUUCCCAGCUCCCAGCUGUACUUUGAUGACACCGACAUCACAUAGCAUUUCUUUCUUGUGUUAUGAACAUAUCUGUCUCUUAAACGCGCUCUGUUGUCUGACUACAAGCACCAAGCACCCUGUCUGAUUAUUUUUGUUCAACAAGAAAUCAAAGCCAAGCACAGAGCUGGCCCUCACCAAACCACGUUCAUCUCCUCACAGAGGAAAGACAAUACCUUACACAAAUGCAUACAAGGUACUCACUACUAAGACUCCUAAGGGCUGGGAUUGUAGAUUAGAGAGUGCUUGUCACCAUGCAUAUGGCCCUGGGUUUAAUCCCCACCAUCACAUAAAGUGAGUACAGUGGUACACAGCUGUGACCUCAGCACUCGGAGGUAGAGGCAGGAGGAUCGAAGUUACCCUCAACUACCUAGCAAGUUCGGGGUUACAUUAAAGCCUAUCUAAAAAGAGCAGGGGUUAGGGGGAGACCUACCAAUGACUGCUAUAUGUAUGCUAUAUGUUCCAGGUGCUCAAAAAUAAAGGCAGUGGGGUAAAAAGUGAUUGAGGAAUGUGAAGUGGUCGGGGAAGUUUUCUGUGGGGACAGAACAUUAGAACUAACACACAACCAAUGAGCCAGGAACAUAGGGCUCUACAAGAGGAGAGUGUCCUAGGAAGAGAAGCUGAACCAAAUCAAUGCUCGUAUUUGACGGGGAUAUGGGAAUGUAAGCAAGGGAGUUAAUAGCUGUAGAAAGAAAUGGUAUGUUACUGAGGUAGCCAGGGAUAAGCACUUGCUACCAAGCCUGAAUCCUAUCCCCCGAGACCUAAAUGAUGGACACGGAGAACCAAGUCCUUCAAGCUGUCCCCUGACCACCCCACAUGCUUGACGACAUGACCACACACAUAAACAAAUGCAUAGAGUAGAAGACGCCAUGGCUGGCUGAUAGCUAACCCUCUCCUCUCCUGCCAGAGGAGGAGACUACUUUUUUCCCCCUCAUUUUGCGUCGUCUUUCCUUUAUCGAGUUGAGUUUUGUAACCUUUACUGCCUGAUUUCUACUAACUGAUAAGCCUCUUCUAGCAACCAUCGUAUCUGGAGCCAUCUUUUACUGACUCAGAGAAAACACAGUGGUUGUUAGGAAACAAAGGCGGGGAGUCGUGAGAGUUAGCUUUUACCCUGCUUAAGUCUUCCCCCACUAACGUUUAUUUUCCCAACCAUCGCCUCUCGCGAUCAUCACUGGCUGCAGCCUGAAGUUAUAAACUUUCUCACUGUUUGUUUCUUUCCACACAAGCCCUGCCCAUCAUGAAGUAAAUAACUUCAGCAAAACUACAUACUUGAGUCCACACAAACAUUUAGAAGAAAAACAGCCAACUGAUCCACAUGAUAUCUCCUAAGAUAACUACAAGGAUUUCAGUAAAUGACCACACUCCCCGUCUUUUCUUUUUAUUGAAAAUAGAUCCCCCACACACAGGAUUUAUCCUGAUUAUGUUUUCUCUUCCCUCCUCCCACUCCGCCUCAUACCCCUCCCAUCCACAUCCACUCCCUUUCUGUCUCUCGAUAGGAAAAAAAGAAAACAGGCUUCUAAGGGAUAACAACAAAAUAUAACAAAAUAAAAUAUAGUAAGAUAAAACAAAAACUGUCAAAUCGAAGUUGGACAAGACAAAUAAAGAAAAGGAAAAGAUCCCAAGAGUCAGAGAUCCACUCGUUCUCACACUCAGGGAUCCCAUAGGAAACACUAGGCUGUAACAUAUACACAGAGGACCUGGUGCGGACCUGUGCAGCCCCUGUGCAUGCUGCAUCAUACAAGCUCAUACAAGCAUCAAUCAUGUUGCUUUAGAGGGCCUUGCUUUCCCGGCGCCCUUCUUUCCCUCUGGAUCUCACAGACUCCUUUAUUUCUGUCUCUGAAAUCCUUCUUCAUCACCACCCACACUACCACCAUCAUCACCACUGUCUCCCUUCCAAGUGUCGCCCCAUCCAUAAUUGUUAUCAAGAAAGAGAACGAGGAAGGGAACGGGUUAUUUUUGUAGCACAGUGGGAUUUCCCAGAUGUUCUGCCUGGGCCUCAUCUCCAGCAACACUUCUAGCCUUCUUUGCAGUCACCUGGAACAGGGACACUUGCCUCUGUCAUCUGCAAAUCUUUUGACAGAGCUGAGCCCAGCCGUAAGGAACAGCAUCCAGCAAGCAGCUGUACUCUACCUGAUAGCGUCUUCUGCUCCAGCUCAGGACCCUGGGGCUCUUGAUGGGAUUCUUCUUCCUAGAUUACAGCCCCAGAAAGAAAAGCAGAGAGAAUGUGAAGGCUCUGAUGCUAUUUCCAUAGCCACAGAGGAUAGCGUCAUAUGAGCACAGCUGUGCAGCCUCCUAAGUGCUGAGACCUCACCACAGAAGGACAGUGUCACACAGUGGAGAAUGAGAGUCAGAAGACCCACAUUUCCCCUCCAACACGACUGAGUGAGCCUGGCCGAACCUGUUCUUUCUUAGGCUUCAUUUCUCAGUAACAGAGAGGAAGGUAACUGUGGCUGUGAAACCUUGUGGGAUCUCCCCAGACCACAUCCAUGGAAGAAGCAUGAGACACAUACCGAGACCUCUAGUUUGGGAAGAGCAUGAAGAUCAAGAACUCUCAGCUCCGCUAGCACCAUGUCUGCCAACACACUGUCAUGCUUCCCGCCAUGAUGAUGAUGGACUGAACCUCUGAAACUAUAAGCCAGUGCCGGUGAAAUGUUGUCCUUUAUAAGAGUUGCCUUGGUCCCGGUGUCUGUUCACAGCCAUGAAAUCCUCACUAAGAGCAUUAAUAAAUAUGACAGAAACAAUAAAGAUCACUGUUGUACACGGGAAUCACUGACUGAGGUCAAACACAAUGCAGGAGAAAAAAAAUCAGCCAUUGGGGAAAAUCCCAGUAGAAAGACUAGUCUUUGAAACUAAACUAUUAAUAUAAUAAUAUUAUUAUAUUUGGGGCAGUUCAUGGAACUUGAUAAUUUUGCUGUCACGGUAAAUGUGCAUUACGGCGGGCAUUGUCUAGGGUACUCUGGGGUCCUCACAGUUUUCAGGAUGUUUGGAAUGGAAGCUCGACCCGUACGGAAGCCUGAAGGCAGCUGAAUGUCUAUAUCUGACUGUAUGCAGGGACAGUGACUGGUGAUGACCUCAGAGGAUAGCAAACAACAACAAAAAGUGUGUGUGCUGAGGCAGUGACUCACAGGUCAAAACAUGGGCCUGAUGUUCAAUCCCCAGAACCGUACAAGUCAGGAGGGUUUAAGAUCCUAGGAGGUAGAGAUGGGAAUCCCAGCGCAACCUGGCUAACAAGA